GAUGAACGCUGGCGGCGUGCCUAAUACAUGCAAGUCGAGGGGCAGCAUGGUCUUAGCUUGCUAAGACUGAUGGCGACCGGCGCACGGGUGCGUAACGCGUAUGCAACUUGCCUCACAGAGGGGGAUAACCCGUCGAAAGACGGACUAAUACCGCGUACACUCUAUGUUGGGCAUCCAAUGUAGAGGAAAUGAAAUUCGCUGUGAGAUAGGCAUGCGUCCCAUUAGCUAGUUGGUGAGGUAACGGCUCACCAAGGCGACGAUGGGUAGGGGAACUGAGAGGUUGAACCCCCACACUGGUACUGAGACACGGACCAGACUCCUACGGGAGGCAGCAGUGAGGAAUAUUGGUCAAUGGGCGAGAGCCUGAACCAGCCAAGUCGCGUGAAGGAUGACUGUCUUAUGGAUUGUAAACUUCUUUUAUACGGGAAUAACAAGAGUCACGUGUGGCU
rnacentral:rRNA from 1 species